GGCCUCUCAGAUGUGAUGGACCCCAGGCAACCUCGAGCAGAGUCCAAAACCAGCCCCAGUGUCUUCCCGCUGAGCCUCCGCAGCCGUGAUGAAGCCGGGCACGUGGUCAUCGCCUGCCUGGUGCAGGGGUUCUUCCCACCGGAGCCCGUGAACGUGACCUGGAGCCCCGGCAAGGAGGGCGCGUCCGUCAGGAACUUCCCCCCUGUGAAGGCCACGGCCGGCAGUCUGUACACCAUGAGCAGCCAGCUGACCCUGCCGGCCGACCAGUGCCCCGCCGGGUCGUCCCUGCAGUGCCACGUUCAGCACGUCUCCGAUCCCAGCAAGCCUGUGUCUGUGCCCUGCGAAGGUCAGAGGCGAGGAGGCGGGGCCACCCCAUCCUGUGACCACCCUGCUGCGAUCUCUCUCUCAGUUCCAGACCUGUGUCCCCCCCAUUGUCAGUGUCCCUCGUGCGACCAGCCCCGCCUGUCGCUUCACCCGCCCGCCCUCGAGGAUCUGCUUGUGACCUCCAAUGGCAGCCUCACGUGCACGCUGAGUGGCCUGAAAGACCCCAGGGGAGCCUCCUUCAGCUGGACGCCCUCCGGGGGGAAGGAUGCCGUCCAGAAGGCCCCCAAGCGGGACGCCUGCGGCUGCUACAGCGUGUCCAGCGUGCUGCCGGGCUGCGCGGCGCCGUGGAACAGUGGGGUCACCUUCUCCUGCACGGCCACCCACCCUGAGUCCAAGAGCCCAAUAACCGGCAACAUCAGCAAACUCCUAGGAAACACCUUCCGGCCCCAGGUCCACCUGCUGCCGCCGCCGUCGGAGGAGCUGGCCCUCAACGAGCUGGUGUCGCUGACCUGCUUGGUGAGGGGCUUCAGCCCCAAGGACGUGCUCGUCCGCUGGCUGCAGGGGACCCAGGAGCUGCCCCCGGAGAAGUACACGACCUGGAAGUCCUUGAAGGAGCCCGGCCGGGGCAGCCCCACCUUCGCCGUGACCAGCGUGCUGAGGGUCGACGCCGAGGCCUGGAAGCAGGGGGACAAGUUCUCCUGCGUGGUGGGCCACGAGACCUUGGGCCCGAAGAAUUUCACCGAGAAGACCAUCGACCGCCUGGCGGGUAAACCCACCCACGUCAACGUGUCUGUGGUCGUGGCAGAGGUGGACGGCGUCUGCUACUGAAACGCCCACCCGUCCUCCUGAAUAAAGUCCGUGUUCGCCCGGAGUGACCCCGGGCCCCCCUGA